rnacentral:rRNA from 1 species
AUUGAACGCUGGCGGAAUGCUUUACACAUGCAAGUCGAACGAUGAAGUCUAGCUUGCUAGACGGAUUAGUGGCGAACGGGUGAGUAAUAUAUCGGAACGUAUCCAUUAAUGGGGGAUAACUAGUCGAAAGAUUGGCUAAUACCACAUACGUCCUACGGGAGAAAGCUGGGGAUCGUAAGACCUGGCGUUAAUGGAGCGGCCGAUAUCUGAUUAGCUAGUUGGUGAGGUAAAGGCUCACCAAGGCGACGAUCAGUAGCUGGUCUGAGAGGACGACCAGCCACACUGGAACUGAGACACGGUCCAGACUCCUACGGGAGGCAGCAGUGGGGAAUUUUGGACAAUGGGCGAAAGCCUGAUCCAGCCAUUCCGCGUGAGUGAAGAAGGCCUUCGGGUUGUAAAGCUCUUUCGCAAGGGAAGAAAACUUAUCCUCUAACAUAGGGUGAGGUUGACGGUACCUUGAUAAGAAGCACCGGCUAACUACGUGCCAGCCGCCGCCGUAAGAC